GGAGGAGGUGCCUCACUGGGGAACAGGCCUUUGACUCUUUCUUGACUUCCUGGUUCCACAUUCUGAGCUGCUUUCCUCCACCGCGCCCUUCCACCAUGGGCCCAGAGCAAUGGAGUUGGCCGUCUAUGGACAGACAUCUAUGAAACCCGCACCUCCUCUAAAUUAUUCUUAUCAGGUCUUUUGGUCACAGCAGCAAAAAAAGCUGCCUAAAACAAAUAGACAUUCAGCACACUGAUUCCUUUGAUGGAAUUAAAUUUAUCUCAGAAACUGUUCUUAAUUUUAGCAUCAGAAUUUUUAAAACUAAGACAAAAGUCCUGCCUUCUUUUUCACUUAACAAUGUCUCCUUUGAUUCCUCUCUCUCUUCUUGCAGUUCAGUAAGCAGAAAGGAGAAAGGUGGUGUCUCCCUAAAAACGGGACAUGGCAUCUCUGAAGAGGGGAUACCCGCCACAGCCCCUUCUGACCCACUGCUACUCUUGUCUAGUGAUCAGUGAGAGGCCAGAGCAGCUCGCCAUGCUGGCUUACCAGGGACUGCACAUGGGCAAACUCGGUGAUACCAACAGCGGAGGAGGUCAGGGUCUUUGGUCCUGAGAUUUAUCAGACAGAAGAGCAGCUCCUGACUGGGCGGCCUACCUGCUUCGAGCUGGGCACACCCAGGGCCUGCUGUGAACGGUGUCCCCGAUGAGUGGGCAUCCACACCCACCCUCUUUAUAAGUCCCUCUUGACUCAGCUUCCCACAGGUUGGCUUUGUGACCGAGUCCUCCCUUCGCUUAGGAGUGACCAAUCACCCCUGCCCAGACUGUUCCCGCCAAUGAAUGUACUAAUCAUGUCUCAGAGUUGUUGUUCAAUUUUCCCGCACCUCAUGAUGAUUUGUUCUGAUGUAUGCAAAGCCCCCCCCACCCCCUCCACCCCCGGCCCUCUCCAAAAAGUGUACUUAAGCUCUGCUUGACCUCUGCUCUGGGCUCUGGGCUGCUCUCCUUUCUUGAGUGGGCACAGAGCCCCAGCAUGCUGGUUCAAUAAAAUUCCCCCCUGCUUAUUGCAU
rnacentral:lncRNA from 1 species